GAGUUGUUUACAAGUAUUUCCACUUUUUGACUUUUGUGGGACCCAGUUUGAGCUGCCCAAACUAGGUGUGAAGGGGGAAGGGGAACCAGCUGAGCUAUCUGGAAACAGGCCCAAGAAUUGCAAGGCUAAGAUAGGGGUGAAGUCAGUAGCCCAGACGAGGUGCAUGUAUACCAAUGCACACAGUUUGGGCAACAAACAAGAAGAGCUGGAGGCCAUGGUGCAACUGCAAAGUUAUGAUGUAGUUGCCAUCACGGAAACGUGGUGGGAUGACUCACAUAACUGGAGUACUGCACUGGAUGGAUGCAAGCUCUUCAGAAGAGAUGGGAAAGGUAGAAGAGGAGGAGGGGUGGCCCUUUAUAUUAAGCAAACUUUUGAUGCCAUCGAAAUUGAAACUAAGGAAGAUGGAGUUGAAUGUCUAUGGGUAAGAUUUAAGGGGAAGGCCAACAAGGCUGACACCAUACUGGGAGUCUGUUAUCGUCUACCUGACCAGAAAGAAGAAGUAGAUGACUUUUUUUGUAAGCAGCUAGGAAAUGUUUCAAGAUCAUCAGCCCUUGUUCUUGUGGGUGACUUCAACCUACCAGACAUCUGCUGGGAACUUAAUACAGCAAUAAAGAGGCAGUCUAGGAAAUUCUUAGAAUGUAUGGAGGACAACUUUUUGUUGCAGCUGGUGGGUGAACCCAGCAGGGGAGGGACUAUGUUAGAUCUGCUGUUUGCAAAUAGAGAUGGGCUGGGGGGAGAUGUGGUGGUUGGAGGGCGCUUGGGGCAGAGUGAUCAUGAAAUAAUAGAGUUCUCAAUAUUUGGUGAAGUCAGGAAGAGUACUAGUAAAACUCUUGCAUUGGACUUCUGGAGGGCAGACUUUGACCUGUUUAGGAGACUUAUUCAGAGCAUCCCUUGGGAAGCAGUCCUUAAAAACAGAGGAGUUCAGGAAGGGUGGGCAUACCUCAAAACAGAAAUCUUGAGGGCACAGGAACAGACUAUCCCUGUGUGCCGAAAGAUCAGUCAACGGGGUAAACGUCCAGCCUGGCUGGGCAGGGAGGUUUUGGAGGAACUUAAGAAUAAAAAAGAGGAUGUAUCAGUGUUGGAAGAAGGGUCAGGUUUCUAAGGAAGUAUUCAAGAAGGCUGCUAGAGCAUGCAGGAAAAAAGUUAGGGAGGCCAAAGCUCAGUUUGAACUUAGAAUGGCGACUUCUGUAAAGGAUAAUAAAAAAUGUUUUUAUAAAUACA
rnacentral:lncRNA from 1 species